GACAGAGGUGCCGAGCGUUAGGCGGAAUCACUGGGCUUAAAGCGUGUGUAGGCGGAUGCCUAAGUACCUUGUGAAAUCCCACGGCUCAACCGUGGAACUGCUUGGUAUACUGGGUGUCUUGAGCCAUCUAGGGGCUACCGGAACAAAUGGUGGAGCGGUGAAAAUGCGUAGAUAUCAUUUGGAACGCCAAUGGUGAAAACAGGUAGCUGGGGAUGUGCUGACGCUGAGACACGAAAGCCAGGGGGAGCAAAACGGG
rnacentral:rRNA from 1 species